rnacentral:rRNA from 1 species
UACGUAGGGUGCAAGCGUUAAUCGGAAUUACUGGGCGUAAAGCGUGCGCAGGCGGUUGUGCAAGACAGAUGUGAAAUCCCCGGGCUCAACCUGGGAAUUGCAUUUGUGACUGCACGGCUAGAGUGUGUCAGAGGGGGGUAGAAUUCCACGUGUAGCAGUGAAAUGCGUAGAGAUGUGGAGGAACACCGGUGGCGAAGGCGGCGUCCUGGACCAACACUGACACUGAUGAGCGAAAGCCAGGGGAGCAAACGGG